rnacentral:rRNA from 1 species
GAUGAACGCUGGCGGCGUGCCUAAUGCAUGCAAGUCGAGCGAAUAGAUCAGGAGCUUGCUCCUUUGACGUUAGCGGCGGACGGGUGAGUAACACGUGUGUAACCUACCUAUAAGACUGGGAUAACUUCGGGAAACCGGAGCUAAUACCGGAUAACAUUUGGAACCGCAUGGUUCUAAGGUGAAAGAUGGUUUUGCUAUCACUUAUAGAUGGACCCGCGCCGUAUUAGCUAGUUGGUAAGGUAACGGCUUACCAAGGCGACGAUACGUAGCCGACCUGAGAGGGUGAUCGGCGACACUGGAACUGAGACACGGUCCAGACUCCUACGGGAGGCAGCAGUAGGGAAUCUUCCGCAAUAGGCGAAAGCCUGACGGAGCAACGCCGCGUGAGUGAUGAAGGGUUUCGGCUCGUAAAACUCUGUUAUUAGGGAAGAACAAAUGUGUAAGUAACUGUGCACGUCUUGACGGUACCUAAUCAGAAAGCCACGGCUAACUACGUG